GGGGGGGGGGGGGGGGGGGCUGAGGACGGGCGGGGCGGGCGGGAAGGGCCUGCUUUUGUGGGGGGCUCGAGUGGCGAACGGGUGAGUAACACGGGAGGAACCUGCCCUUGACUUUGGGCUAACUGCGGGAAACUGGGGCUAAUACCGGAUAGGAGCUCCUGCUGCAUGGUGGGGGUUGGAAAGUUUCGGCGGGUGGGGAUGGACUCGCGGCUUAUCAGCUUGUUGGUGUGGUAGUGGCUUACCAAGGCGUUGCCGGGUAGCCGGCCUGAGAGGGUGACCGGCCACAUUGGGACUGAGAUACGGCCCAGACUCCUACGGGAGGCAGCAGUGGGGAAUAUUGCACAAUGGGCGGAAGCCUGAUGCAGCAACGCCGCGUGCGGGAUGACGGCCUUCGGGUUGUAAACCGCUUUCGCCUGUGACGAAGCGUGAGUGACGGUAAUGGGUAAAGAAGCACCGGCUAACUACGUG
rnacentral:rRNA from 1 species